AGCUUUGUGCAGUGGCAAUAUCGUAGCCAAUGAGGUUUAUCUGAGGCGCAAUUCUUGCUAAUUGCAAACUUUUCCCAAAUAUUUGUUAAACUCAUAUAUAAAUUUCAUAUGAAUUUCAUCUACAUAAAUAUAUAU
rfam:Felis catus isolate Cinnamon breed Abyssinian chromosome X, whole genome shotgun sequence.